ACGCCUUCAUGAAGCUGGAAUUGCUAGUAAUGGCAGGUCAGCAUACUGCCGUGAAUACGUUCCCGGGCCUUGUACACACCGCCCGUCACACCAUGAGAGUUGGAAAUACCCGAAGCCUGUGAGCUAACUUAAAGAGGCAGCAGUCGAAGGUAGAGCCAAUGAUUGGGGUGAAGUCGUAACAAGGUACC
rnacentral:rRNA from 1 species